GUGAGGGUACAUGAUCAUGAAUUGAGAGACAAAGACUAACUUCUAUUUCGUAGUUGCAAUGUGUAGUCUGAAAAUUCUAUUUUCGUAACUAUAUUUUCAUGCAAGGCAAACUGAAUGACACGGCAGGGCAACACGUCGCCUGAGUAGAUUUUCAUUCCAAGAGCUGCAUAUAUCUGAAAAGACCAAUUUAAGAGAUUAGAGAUGUGCUGUUGCAAAUCUUUUUUCAGACCUUUUGAAAGGCUUACUGAAACCCUUAAUACUAUCUAUAUGGGUUUGUGAUUUGAGUAUAGUUGAUAGAGAAAAAUAUAUUUUUUUCAAUAUUGAAAAACGUUGGUUUGUAAAAAAAAAAAUGUAUACACUGAGAGAGUGAGAGAGAGAGAGAGAGGGAGAGGGAGGGAGGGAGAAAGAGAGGCUUCUGCUGUCGUCUCCUCUCGAUAGUCUAAGUUUCCAAGUGUAACAGAUGCUUCUCCCAAGCCGUUCCUUGUGCUCGCUUCUUUUAUUCAGGCGCGCAUUUUUCUCCUCGCGAUCCCCGUUUCCAUAGAGAGAGGAAUAAAAGGUGGCCACGGCCACAAAUCCGCGGGCCGGCCUGAAUAAAGGAGUCCAUUGAAAUGAGGGCCCGGGCUGGACACCGCCCCAGCGUCCCGAUGCUACUGUUACAAGAGCCCGAGAUGGCGUUUUCUCUGCGCGGGUUUAAGCCCGUGCAAGCAAUCAGUGAGCUAUUUUCAAAACGCUACCAUGUCACGUCUUAUCUCGACGGCGGCUACUGCGUCGUUUGUAAUUACGCCAUUUAGAAUAGAGCGUGCAAUUAUUGUAACCCGACGUAGGGUACACGAGGCGCCCAUCAGUAAUAUGCCAACUAACGACCGUUAGAGUGUUAAAUGUUGUUUUCACAUCAGCUCCUAUUAAGCUCGUUGCUGGAAAAAAAAAGAAAGAAAAGCGAUGUUGUAGGCUACUGAAACAUUCAGCAUUGGCUUGCAUACAUGAAGGGAGCUCAGUAAACGGGCAACUUUGUAACUCUCUAUCAUUUAGACUUCCCUUAACGCACAGCCCUUAUUUUGGCAGGAAUUAUUGUUGGUUGCCAGAAAAUGUCAUGAUGGUUUUUAACAAGUUUGCGAAGAAGACAGCAAAAUAAACUAAGGCAAAAUAACACCAUCAGCACAUGUAAUAAUUUCAGUAUUCCAACAUAGACUACAUAUCUGUAAUAAUUCAAUCUCCCCAUUCAGUUGGCUUUGAAUUUCAGUGAUGUAUAGGCUUAGAUGCAAGUGGGCCCAUGUGAGACAAGAAGUUAGACCCUAAAUAAAAUAUUAGUCAUAUCCUCAUAUUGGUUGCCAUUGCAUGGUCCCUUGUUGCCUACCUACUCACUUUGACAUAAGCUAGGCUGCAUGAAGUCUGGUAUCAUUCAGUAUUUUUUAUGUUUGUUUUGAGAAAGAAUGGCAGUUGAGAUGUAGCUGUGUUUUUAUCUCGAUGGCUGUACCUAAAGAUAGAUUUGGCUUCUACUCCGAAACAGCGUGGUGCCCGGGGCAGGACGUGUCAUUCGCGUGUCACGACCUCAUUCACAUCCCCCGUCAACUGUGCUCACACUGGUUGCCCGGCCACCCCGCCUCUCGCCUCGUCACCCCAACAACCAUUUGUGUUUCUUUGUGAAAACAGAAAAAGAAAAAGAGGAGAACGUAUAAUCCCUCCAAAACUGCACAAGGAUUCAGGAUUUAGUUUUCUUACAGCUCGACACUGAGAGGAGAGAUGGUCUGAUUUGCGCCAUUCACGCACACGAACAGAGUGUGAACAAAGUGUGACAGUGCCGAUUUUUUUUUUGCACAACAAACAGACUACUUUAAGAGUCAAACCAUGUCUUUUAGUAAAUGUAUUUUUUGUUUGUUGAAGUCCGUCUUAUUCCGUGAAUAAACAGACUAAAUACUCAAUAGGCUACCUAACUGAUUUCUUGAAAUAUUAUUUUUUUAAAUGUAUGUUAGACUGAGGACUCGUUUAAUCUAUUUUUUUUCCAUCGCAAAAAUGAAUUCUCAUUUGAAAAUGUGUUCUUGUGUUUCGUUAAAAUGCAAUAUAUACUAUAUUUGACAUGGCUAACUUUUUAAACGCAUCACUCUGCUCCCUGGUGCAGUGCAAAAUCAAUAGGAGCGUUUAUCUGGAAUGACACCUAUUUAAAGGGCAAUGGGGCGACCAAAAGCCUGUAUUUCCAGCUGUCUUAUGCCUGAUAAAUUGCAGCUCUUUUUCUAGAUAUAGCCUUUAUCUAGAGUAUUCAUAACAAAAUAUUCAAAAAGCGCAUUGACAUUGUAUAACAUCUGCAAUAAUAAUAAUAAUAAUAAUACUUGUGUUAUUAUUGUUGUUGCUGUUAUUAUUGUUAUUAUUAGUAGUAUUAUCAAAUACUACGUUGAUAAUUUCACUCUUAUUAAUAGACGUGUAGGCUAUAAGUAGGUUAUUGGUAAGUAUUUUAACGCGAAGGAGAAGCUGUAACACAUUAGUGGCAGAGCUAGAAGAAGCAGUGGUAACUGCAUUUCACCCAAGAAGUUAAACGGAAUGGGCGGCAGUAAGAAAAAGUUGUUUGUGUUUACGACUUGCAUAUUGGUAUUAGUUCUCAGCUAAUUAAAAUAGCUUUAGGGAGCAUUGUAUGCGGUUGCACGCUCGCUUCACCUCACACACCCACACACCCAAACACACAUACACAGAGAGAGAGAGAGAGAGAGAGAGAGAGAGAGAGACAGAGCGAGAGAGGGAGAGAGAGUCACUCUCACACAUAUAUUAAGAGAGCAAACAGAGCCGGCUUGGUGCUGUGGUGCCUGUAGCCCAGUGAAAUGAGACCUCAAGGCAGUGUUGGCAGCGGGACGAUGCUGGAAGAAAUGCAUUAGUAACGCCAGAGCAAAGAGGAUGUAGGACACAAACUGGGGUGAGCACUGGCGCGCCUGCCGCCAGUGUAUAAAGGGGUCGUUUCAUCCCGCGCAGAAUGUAUGGCCAUAAAUAAAGGUGCAUCUAUAAUUUAUGAAGUGUUUUUUUCUUUGUUUGGCCUCCAGCAUGGGUCCCGCGGGCUGUGUGCUUUGGGCGAGCCCCACGCUGCUGUGGCGCGGCCUGCGGUGUGGGCACUGACUUUGGGGCACGGCUCGGAUGCUGUCUGACGUGUGAGACAAAAUACUGAAGCAUGACGGUUGGCGAAGCUGCUGUGAAAUGAGGAAGAAGGCCCGAGUCUUCAAGGGAAAAACCUCUUCAGACUUCAUAAUGCAUCUUUAAUAACUUCACUGCCUAAGUCACAGCACACAUGAAGAUCAGGCAUUAUUUAAACUAGCUGUUCAGCAUCCAGGGGUUUGGAAGAACUAGUUAUCCAGAUUGUAACAUAUAACUCUGAAUGUAUCCUAAUAAUAAUAAUUAUUAUUAUUAAUAACAAUAAUACUAUUAUUAAUAAUAAUGAAUAGUAAAUAGUACAUCACAUGUUGAUUGCAGAAUUGAUUUGUACUGCAGACAUAGUGGAGGUACAACAUGUGAGCCUUUAAUCUCAGUCCAAAUUCAAAGUACCUUCCUUUGUAUUGAAUUGCAUACAGUAGCACUUUUUGAUAAUACUUUUCUCAUUUUUUGUAUCCAACACAGUACAAAAACCAAGCACAUUACUACGAACGUAAAGGCUAGUCAUAUGUUCCCCACUUAUAAAGUUCUGUCUAUUAUCAUUAAAGUAGGAACAAUAUGAGAAUUUAA